AGCUCUUUGGCAGAUAAUGAGAUACUCAAAAAUCAAUCCUGUCCAGGCAAAACCUGUUAUAGAGUCUCUAAAGAGACACACCUGGUACAUAGACCCAAAUAUUUUAGUUAUGUCUCUUGUUGACAAAAAUGUACAAGAACGGAGUGACAUUGCCAAGAAGUUGUACUCAACCCCAAGACCUACAACUUAUGCCAUAGAAAGACAUCAAGUUAAUUUAAAUAUACUGAACUCCCUUAUGUUUAAUGAUGAUACUCCCCCAAGUUUGACCCCGCUUAUAACUGACCAGAGUUGGUUAAUUUUUCAUAUCUUAAACCAUGCAAAUGCUGAAGUACAGUGGCUUAAGACUCGAUCUGAGACAUGAGAUCUAAAUGACUAUUACUUAGAAUUCAAACAAUUUGUGAAUAAUCUUGAAGUAGUAAAUGACUGUAGUGAGAGGGCUAUAAAACUAGUUCAGGAGUUGAUCAAUAAAUCGCAUAAUGAGGAUAAAAGACAAAGUACCUUCCUCGUAUCAAACAAAUAUAAGAGUGAAAGAACAAUUUAAAAAAAAUGUGAUUAUGUAAAGAA